rnacentral:rRNA from 1 species
GACGAACGCUGGCGGCGUGCCUAAUACAUGCAAGUCGAACGCAGUGGGGACGGGUGAGUAACACGUGGGUAACCUCCCAUCAGUGGGGAUAACACUUGGAAACAGGUGCUAAACCGAUACUGAUGGAUGGACCCGCGGUGCAUUAGCUAGUUGGUGAGGUAACGGCUCACCAAGGCCACGAUGCAUAGCAGGCGUUGAAGGGUGAGCGGCCACACAGGGGGUGAGGCACGGCCCAGACGCCUACGGGAUGCAGCAGUAGGAAAUCUGCGGGAAAGGGGGGAACCUUUACCGAUCAACGCCGCGGGAGUGAAAAAGGUUUUCGGAUCGUAAAGCUCUGUUGGUAAGGAAGCGGUACUUAACCAGAAAGGGACGGCUAACUACGUGCCAGCAGCCGCGGUAAUAC